UACGUAGGGGGCAAGCGUUGUCCGGAAUCAUUGGGCGUAAAGAGCGUGUAGGCGGCCCGAUAAGUCCGCUGUGAAAGUCCAGGGCUCAACCCUGGAAUGCCAGUGGAAACUGUCGGGCUGGAGUCCGGAAGAGGCGAGUGGAAAUUCCUGGUGUAGCGGUGAAAUGCGCAGAUAUCAGGAGGAACACCAAUGGCGAAGGCAGCUCGCUGGGACGGUACUGACGCUGAGACGCGAAAGCGUGGGGAGCAAACAGG
rnacentral:rRNA from 1 species